CUCUGCAUUGGAAAGCGAUUGUGGGCUGCGCAGGCCCUGGUCAUUGAUAGUGCAGGGAGAAGAACGUGGAAAGAGGUUUGGAGGGUCCACCCAUCCCUUCUAAACCCUGGAGCUUUCCCAUA
rnacentral:snoRNA from 1 species